GAUCACUCAGCUGCAUCUCGAGAAUCAGCAGAACAGCCAAUUGGGGCAUUUACCAAAAAAGAGAAAAAGAAAAAAGAGGAGGGUGCAAAAUCAAAAAAAAAAAAAUAUACAAAAAAUCAAAAUCAAAAGAAAUCAAAAGAAAGAAAAAGAAAGAAAAAACAAAGGAGAAAUAGCACCCUCAAAGUCCCAAGUUGACUGACGCUGAAUUUCGAUCGAAAAGAAGAGAUCAACUGCCAUGUGUCAUGGUCAGUCAUAUCAGCAGAGAGUGAGAAAGCAGGUCAAGCU
rnacentral:lncRNA from 1 species